CCUACGGGUGGCAGCAGUGGGGAAUGUUGCGCAAUGGGCGAAAGAGUGACGCAGCGACGCCGCGUGAAGGAUGAAGGCCGUCGGGUUGGAAAGUUCUUUCGACAGGGAAGAAAAUGCCUAUAAGUAACCGUGUUUGUAUUGACGGUACCUGUAGAAGCAGCCCCGGCUAACUCCGUGCCAGCAGCCGCGGUAAUACGGAGGGGGCGAGCGUUGUGCGGAGUGACUGGGCGUAAAGGGCGCGUAGGCGGUGUUGUAAGUCAUGAGUCAAAGGCUAGAGCUCAACUUUGGAACGGCUAGUGAUACUGUAAGACUAGAGUAUCGGAGAGGAUUGCGGAAUUCCUGGUGUAGCGGUGAAAUGCGUAGAUAUCAGGAGGAAUACCGAUCGCGAAGGCGGCUGUCUGGAUGGAAACUGACGCUGAGGUGCGAAAGCGUGGGUAGCAAACAGGAUUAGAUACCCCAGUAGUC
rnacentral:rRNA from 1 species